GGUUAAGCGACUAAGCGUACACGGUGGAUGCCCUGGCAGUCAGAGGCGAUGAAGGACGUGCUAAUCUGCGAUAAGCGUCGGUGAGGUGAUAUGAACCGUUAUAACCGGCGAUUUCCGAAUGGGGAAACCCAGUGUGUUUCGACACACUAUCAUUAACUGAAUCCAUAGGUUAAUGAGGCGAACCGGGGGAACUGAAACAUCUAAGUACCCCGAGGAAAAGAAAUCAACCGAGAUUCCCCCAGUAGCGGCGAGCGAACGGGGAGGAGCCCAGAGCCUGAAUCAGUGUGUGUGUUAGUGGAAGCGUCUGGAAAGGCGCGCGAUACAGGGUGACAGCCCCGUACACAAAAAUGCACAUAUUGUGAGCUCGAUGAGUAGGGCGGGACACGUGGUAUCCUGUCUGAAUAUGGGGGGACCAUCCUCCAAGGCUAAAUACUCCUGACUGACCGAUAGUGAACCAGUACCGUGAGGGAAAGGCGAAAAGAACCCCGGCGAGGGGAGUGAAAAAGAACCUGAAACCGUGUACGUACAAGCAGUGGGAGCCUCUUAAUGGGGUGACUGCGUACCUUUUGUAUAAUGGGUCAGCGACUUAUAUUCUGUAGCAAGGUUAACCGAAUAGGGGAGCCGAAGGGAAACCGAGUCUUAACUGGGCGUUAAGUUGCAGGGUAUAGACCCGAAACCCGGUGAUCUAGCCAUGGGCAGGUUGAAGGUUGGGUAACACUAACUGGAGGACCGAACCGACUAAUGUUGAAAAAUUAGCGGAUGACUUGUGGCUGGGGGUGAAAGGCCAAUCAAACCGGGAGAUAGCUGGUUCUCCCCGAAAGCUAUUUAGGUAGCGCCUCGUGAAUUCAUCUCCGGGGGUAGAGCACUGUUUCGGCAAGGGGGUCAUCCCGACUUACCAACCCGAUGCAAACUGCGAAUACCGGAGAAUGUUAUCACGGGAGACACACGGCGGGUGCUAACGUCCGUCGUGAAGAGGGAAACAACCCAGACCGCCAGCUAAGGUCCCAAAGUCAUGGUUAAGUGGGAAACGAUGUGGGAAGGCCCAGACAGCCAGGAUGUUGGCUUAGAAGCAGCCAUCAUUUAAAGAAAGCGUAAUAGCUCACUGGUCGAGUCGGCCUGCGCGGAAGAUGUAACGGGGCUAAACCAUGCACCGAAGCUGCGGCAGCGACGCUUAUG
rnacentral:rRNA from 1 species